rnacentral:rRNA from 1 species
GAUGAACGCUGGCGGCGUGCUUAACACAUGCAAGUCGAACGGUGAAGCAGAGCUUGCUCUGUGGAUCAGUGGCGAACGGGUGAGUAACACGUGAGCAACCUGCCCCUGGCGCGGGGAUAAGCGCUGGAAACGGCGUCUAAUACUGGAUAUUAGCUGCGACCGCAUGGUCAGCAGUUGGAAAGAUUUUGCGGUCUGGGAUGGGCUCACGGCCUAUCAGCUUGUUGGUGAGGUAAUGGCUCACCAAGGCGUCGACGGGUAGCCGGCCGGAGAGGGUGACCGGCCACACUGGGACUGAGACACGGCCCAGACUCCUACGGGAGGCAGCAGUGGGGAAUAUUGCACAAUGGGCGAACGCCUGAUGCAGCAACGCCGCGUGAGGGAUGACGGCCUUCGGGUUGUAAACCUCUUUUAGCAGGGAAGAAGCGAAAGUGACGGUACCUGCAGAAAAAGCGCCGGCUAACUACGUG